rnacentral:rRNA from 1 species
GAUGAACGCUGGCGGCGUGCUUAACACAUGCAAGUCGAACGAAGCACUUUAUUUGAUUUCCUUCGGGACUGAUUAUUUUGUGACUGAGUGGCGGACGGGUGAGUAACGCGUGGGUAACCUGCCUUGUACAGGGGGAUAACAGUUGGAAACGGCUGCUAAUACCGCAUAAGCGCACAGCAUCGCAUGAUGCAGUGUGGAAAACUCCGGUGGUAUAAGAUGGACCGGCGUUGGAUUAGCUAGUUGGUGAGGUAAGGGCCCACCAAGGCGACGAGCCAUAGCCGACCUGAGAGGGUGACCCGCCACAUUUGGACUGAGACACGGCCCAAACUCCUACGGGAGGCAGCAGUGGGGAAUAUUGCACAAUGGGCGAAAGCCUGAUGCAGCGACGCCGCGUGAGCGAAGAAGUAUUUCGGUAUGUAAAGCUCUAUCAGCAGGGAAGAUAAUGACGUUACCUGACGAAGAAGCACCGGCUAAAUACGUG